AGUUAAAAAGCUCGUAGUUGGAUUUCUGGCAGGAGCGGCGGGUCGCGCACUCUGUGCGUGAACUUGGUUGUCUCUGGCCAUCCUUGGGGAGAUCCUGUUUGGCAUUAAGUUGUCGGGCAGGGGAUACCCAUCGUUUACUGUGAAAAAAUUAGAGUGUUUAAAGCAGGCUUAUGCCGUUGAAUAUAUUAGCAUGGAAUAAUAAGAUAGGACUUUGGAACUAUUUUGUUGGUUUGCGUUACAAAGUAAUGAUUAAUAGGGACAGUUGGGGGUAUUCGUAUUUCGUUGUCAGAGGUGAAAUUCUUGGAUUUCCGAAAGACGAACUACUGCGAAAGCAUUUACC
rnacentral:rRNA from 1 species